UAUAUGUGAGAAGCAGUGCAGCCGUCUGCUGCUGACCACAUUCUUUACAAAUGAAGCCAUUAUAGGACAGAGGGAAAGAAAGAGAGAAACUAAGUCUCAACAAUAUAGGAGCCCUGGAUCAAACCGUGUCUGAAGGCAGACCUACUCCUGACUUUUUCGUUUGGAUGGACCCUAAAUCCAAUGACAAGUGUCCUUAGAAGAGAACGGGAGGAGAAAUACCAAAAAGGCGCUGUGAAGACAGAGGCCCAGAAUGACAAAUUCUCACUCAGAGGUUCUGGGAGAGACCAACCUUGCUGAUGUCUUGACUUCAGAGUUCUGGCCUCCAAAAUGACAAGAAAAUAAAUUUCUGUUGUUGUAA